rnacentral:tRNA from 1 species
AAUAAAAUGCCUGAUUAAUAGGAUCAUCUUGAUAGGGUGAAAAAUGAAGAUUUAUUCUUCUUUUAUUA